GACGAACGCUGGCGGCGUGCCUAAUACAUGCAAGUUGAGCGAUGAAGAUUGGUGCUUGCACCAAUUUGAAGAGCAGCGAACGGGUGAGUAACGCGUGGGGAAUCUGCCUUUGAGCGGGGGACAACAUUUGGAAACGAAUGCUAAUACCGCAUAAUAACUUUAAACAUAAGUUUUAAGUUUGAAAGAUGCAAUUGCAUCACUCAAAGAUGAUCCCGCGUUGUAUUAGCUAGUUGGUGAGGUAAAGGCUCACCAAGGCGAUGUUACAUAGCCGACCUGAGAGGGUGAUCGGCCACAUUGGGACUGAGACACGGCCCAAACUCCUACGGGAGGCAGCAGUAGGGAAUCUUCGGCAAUGGACGAAAGUCUGACCGAGCAACGCCGCGUGAGUGAAGAAGGUUUUCGGAUCGUAAAACUCUGUUGGUAGAGAAGAACGUUGGUGAGAGUGGAAAGCUCAUCAAGUGACGGUAACUACCCAGAAAGGGACGGCUAACUACGUG
rnacentral:rRNA from 1 species